GUACAGCAAAGUAAGACCUAAAAAUAAGUCAACGUGACCAAAAUGGUCAAUUGACCCCCUAAGGAGUUAUUGCCCUUUAUAGUCAAUUUUUAACAAUUUUCAUAAUAUUUGUAAAUUUUCACUAGCAUUUUCACUGAAACUACUGGGCCAAGUUCAUUAAAGAUAGAGAUAAUUGUAAGCAGCAAGAAUGUUUAGUAAAGUAAGAUCUACAAACACAUCACCAUCAC
rnacentral:lncRNA from 1 species